rnacentral:rRNA from 1 species
UUGGAGGGCAAGUCUGGUGCCAGCAGCCGCGGUAAUUCCAGCUCCAAUAGCGUAUAUUAAAGUUGUUGCAGUUAAAAAGCUCGUAGUUGAGUUUCGGGAUCAAUACGUCGGUCGUGCUUUUUUGGUACGCACUGGCGUCAUUGGUUUCUCCUUUCUGACGAACCAUGAUGUCAUUAAUUUGGUGUUAUGGGGAGUUAGGACUGUUACUUUGAAAAAAUUAGAGUGUUUAAAGCAGGCAUUAGCUUGAAUACAUUAGCAUGGAAUAAUGAAAUAGGACGUUCGAUCCUAUUUUGUUGGUUUCUAGGAUCAACGUAAUGAUUAAUAGGGAUAGUUGGGGGCAUUAGUAUUCAAUUGUCAGAGGUGAAAUUCUUGGAUUUAUUGAAGACUAACUACUGCGAAAGCAUUUGCCAAGGAUGUUUUCAUUAAUCAAGAACGAAAGUUAGGGGAUCGAAGACGAUCAGAUACCGUCGUAGUCUUAACCAUAAACUAUGCCGACUAGGGAUCGGAUGAUGUUAAUUUUUUAAUGACUCAUUCGGCGCCUUACGGGAAAC